rnacentral:rRNA from 1 species
AGAGCAAACCAUGCAGUCGAGCGGAUGCACGGGAGCUUGCUCCUGGAUUCAGCGGCGGACGGGUGAGUAAUGCCUAGGAAUCUGCCUGGUAGUGGGGGAUAACGUCCCGAAACGGACGCUAAUACCGCAUACGUCCUACGGGAGAAAGUGGGGGAUCUUCGGACCUCACGCUAUCAGAUGAGCCUAGGUCGGAUUAGCUAGUUGGUGGGGUAAAGGCCUACCAAGGCGACGAUCCGUAACUGGUCUGAGAGGAUGAUCAGUCACACUGGAACUGAGACACGGUCCAGACUCCUACGGGAGGCAGCAGUGGGGAAUAUUGGACAAUGGGCGAAAGCCUGAUCCAGCCAUGCCGCGUGUGUGAAGAAGGUCUUCGGAUUGUAAAGCACUUUAAGUUGGGAGGAAGGGCAGUAAGUUAAUACCUUGCUGUUUUGACGUUACCUACAGAAUAAGCACCGGCUAACUUCGUGCCAGCAGCCGCGGUAAUACGAAGGGUGCAAGCGUUAAUCGGAAUUACUGGGCGUAAAGCGCGCGUAGGUGGUUCAGCAAGUUGGAUGUGAAAUCCCCGGGCUCAACCUGGGAACUGCAUCCUAAACUACUGAGCUAGAGUACGUGUAGAGAGGUGGUGGAAUUUCCUGUGUAGCGGUGAAAUGCGUAUAUAUAGGAAGGAACACCAGUGGCGAAAGCGACCACCUGGACUGAUACUGACACUGAGGUGCGAAAGCGUGGGAGCAACAGGAUUAGAUACCCUGGUAGUCCACGCCGUAAACGAUGUCGACUAGUCGUUGGGAUCCUUGAGAUCGUAAUGCGCAGCUAACGCGAUAUUCCACCGCCUGGGGAGUACGGCGCAGUAAAACUCAAUGAAUACGGAGGCCGCACACGGUGACUGGUUAUUUGACACCGAGACUACUCGCUUGAGUCUGAAGCUCGAAUGAUGUGCUCGACUGAC